CUUUUUUCAAGUAACGAGUAAAGUAAGGGAUUACUAUUGCAAAAACGGUAAUUAGAUUACCGUUACUUUCCCGUAGGAACGCUGCGUUACUACGUUACUAAAACCGUGAUUUUUUUGCGAGAAUGUCUCAUGACAGUGACGUAAGCGAGCACGACGUUCGUGACAACAGCUGUGUGCAGAUCAACAAUGGAUCACAUAUCGAGUGCAGAGAGAGUAUGAGCGUGCAGCGUUUAAAGCGUGGAAGUACUGACCUUACUUUGAGUUUGAUUCCAUAAAAAGUGACAAAAACAUUAGUGUCCGCUGUGCGUGGGAAGAAAACUUCUUUUUACAGCGAAAAACCCCUAAACUUCCAACAAGCACCGAGUAGCUACGACGUAAUGGGAAACUCACAGAGAAACUCGCGGAUUCUUCCACUGACCGCGCCACACCUGCACCAGGGUAAACCUCCGCCUACCCUACUCCUGCUUUACAGGUGAAAAUAGAGCAACAGCACCGCUGAGUCUUUGACUUUAUUUAUUUUCUGCUGUGUUUUACUUGCAUCUAUUUGAAAGACUGAGUGUAAACACAACAAAUAUUUUAUUUUAUGUGCUGGAAUGUGCAGAAAAUAAGUUUAAAUAUUAAACUAAUUUAUUCAAGUCAGAGAAUGUUGCAUAUAAUUACAUGUUUGCUUGAUGCAUAAAGUUAAAAGAUUAAAACUGAUAAAACAAGUUUUAAAAAGAGAGACUUUUCCAUUUGAUUACAUUUUGUAUGAUGAUUAUGCAGAAAAAGUAGAAUUGGGCUGAAAGAUCUAUCACUUUAUCACCUCUUCAGGUUGUAAAUCGUGUUUUUUAAAAGUAACUAAGUAACUAAUUACUUUUUUGGGCGAGUAAUCGGUAAUUAGUUACUGAUUACUUUUUUCAAGUAACUUGACCAACACUGAUCACUACUUAGAAAUGGCUGUCUGUUAGCAUGGUUAUGUUUUUUAAAUAUCAGUAUAUUGUGAUUUAUACUGAUUUUUGUGUUAGAAAAGGGCUAACACCUCCCUCCAUCAGGGUCAUAGGGUACCUGGAGUACAGUGGCUACAUUGGUACUCCUGAAGUAAGCUUACAUAAGCCCUGAUGAAGGCCAUCAGAGUUGGCCUUCCUGAGGUGGAAUUUUAAGGAACAGUCAUGGGAUGGAACUCUGGUAGUUCUUAUGACAUCACAGCUAUUGCACAGUUACAGUGCAGGUUUAAAUGUUACAACUGAAACAUAUUUAUGACUUCAGCAACAAGCAGAUACACACACAGCUGAACUAGGACAUUUUCAUAGAGCAGUUUCUUUGAAAAAAAGGUGAGUUUUGGGGGAACUGCUUUAUAAGUGACACUUACUUUUAAUGCUGUAACUUUGAUAGCUGAUGGUAGAUAUUUACAGUGAGAUUUUUGAGCAUGCCCUACAGUACAGAUGGGAAAUGUACUGCUUAACUUGAAUAACUUAUGUCUUUGUGGGAUCUUUAAAGUUCAGAUGAUGGAACAAGGAGAUGGGGCCCAUGCUCAGCCUAAUGAGGGGGCAAGAGCAUUCAUGAUCCACAACACCCAGCACAACCUGUGUCUGGAAGAUUCAGCAGAUACAGGUGAAGUCCAAUUGAAGACAUGCAACCUAGACUCUGAAUAUCAGCAGUGGAUCUGGAUCAGUCGGGACAUGCUGAUGUGUGUCGCAUCAUCUAGGUGUCUGUCAGCCCAGCACGAAGGGCCAGUGCACACCCAGGAUUGCCAUGAACCCGAGGUGGAUGCUGCUUGGUUAAUAUGGGACUGUGACCGGGACCAACUGAUCAGUAGAAAGCUAUCAAUGCUUCUGUCACACAAUGGCCAGCAUGCGAUCCUCGUACAACACAGCAAACACCCAAAGUGGAGAUCUCUGGAUCAGGGGGACAUCUGCCAGGAAAGAUUCAGACAUCGGAGAGCUUCUGACGAUUUGACGUACGAGGAUGAAGCACAAACAGGAGAGCUGACAGCUAUGACAAAGGAACAAAGAGAGUAUCUACGUUGGUUCUACCGCACAGAGGACUCAACCACAUGGACAUUUGUACUGCUGGGACUGGCCUUUGUCUGCCUUCUUGUUGGUUUUCUUCUCCUGGGAAUGGGAGCCAUGGCAAAUAAGAGCAGGAAGAAGAUAGCCGAGUACAAGGCUGCAACAUCUCUGCUUCAGAAAAAUGAAGAUCAGGAGCUGCUCAAAGAAAACAGCACACACCCAGCAUCAGACAUGCCACUGCAGGGAAACAAGCCUCACAUGUCCAACAGUGACACAAGUGAGCAGAGCAAUGCAGGAAAUAUUGUGGUCACAUGGAAAGAUGGCAACACCUCCUGCCUGUACCCAGAUCCUGCGGUGGAAGAGAAACAGGAGGAAGAGAGGAAAGAGAAAAUAACAGCUGCUGAGCUCGACUCUCCAGAUGAAGUGAAGAUUAUGAGCUGAAGAGGUCACAGUGAAUACCAGCGGCAGUGGGAGUGGCAGUGUUUGCUUUAAUAAUUGAUCAUAAUUUUCUGAUUAUUCUUAUUUUCAUGACUUCAGAGUGAAAUUUUAUGAAACCCUCAAAUGAUCAGAAAACAGUUCUCUUUUUUAUUCAUUCCUAAUAAAGCUCAUAACAGUUUACAUUACAGUUUCAAUGGGUGGUUGCGCUCAUAAAAUGUGUCCACGUGGGAACAAAAGUUGUAUAAAAAUGGUUCCCUGUAAAGGUAUUCUAUAAAAACAGUUUCUGGAUGUAAGUUCAGAUCUGCUUAUGUGUGCUUCCCCCAAUGGGCUUCGCCAUUGUUAGUUUUGGGGUGGCUAAAGGAGGCAGCUCUGCCCCUGCUGAUGGUUCAGUUUCUAGGGCUCCUCUUGUGGUGUUGAUGAUGAUUUCUGGUUUGAUGGGCUGUAAAGUUGCUUUCAAUAAGGUUCUGUCCACAGGGAGUCUGACAAAUAGACACCGAAUGUUCUAGUCUUCCUCCAUCCUGUGUUGUGAACUGAAAUGGGAAAAACUUAAUGAGAUUUGAGUACUUUUGUGUGUUGUGCUGAUGCCUCAGAUAUUAUUGCAUCACAAUAAAUCACUUGCUUUGAUCUUGAA
ensembl:lncRNA